rnacentral:ncRNA from 2 species
GCUUGAAUCGGGAACGUUGAACCAGACGGAGUAUUUGGACACUUUCCCUCUGGUGAGUUAAUAGUGUAACCGACCUUUUAUUAA